rnacentral:tRNA from 1 species
UCCGAAUUAGUAUAUCGGCUAGUAUGACCGCCUCUCAUCGCUGUGGGUGCGCGGUAGAGACGGGUUCGAUUCCCGUAUUCGGAA